UUCUUUCUCCGCUCAAACACCGAACCCUAUCUCGCUUCUUCCGUCUCUUAUCAACACGGACGGACACAUGCAUCAUUACAGCAGAACUUGAUUUUGAACAUAACAUCACAUCAGGUUAUUCAUCUUCUCCAAUUCCAUUGCCUCACUGUUAACUUCUUCUUUUCAUCUUUAUUCAAACCAUUUGGCUUUUAAUUGAAUAUAUGUCCUUUUCG
rnacentral:lncRNA from 1 species